CAGUGAGGGAAUUAAGGACGUCACGUUGUCCUUGUAACGGGGAUCCAGCAGGCUGGCCACCCAGUAAUCAGCACAAGUUAGAAUGUGAGCAACUCGGCAGUUGUUGAGCAGGCACUUUGGUGACUCUAGAUAACCUCGGGCCGAUCGCACGUCCCCGUGACGGCGAUGACACAUUCGGAUGUCUGCCCUAUCAUUUUUUGAUGGUACUUUCUGAGACUACCAUGGUGACCACGGGUACCAGGGAAUCAGGGUUCAAUUCCGG